rnacentral:rRNA from 1 species
GAGUUUGAUCCUGGCUCAGAUUGAACGCUGGCGGCAGGCCUAACACAUGCAAGUCGAGCGGAUGAAGAGAGCUUGCUCUCUGAUUCAGCGGCGGACGGGUGAGUAAUGCCUAGGAAUCUGCCUGGUAGUGGGGGACAACGUCUCGAAAGGGACGCUAAUACCGCAUACGUCCUACGGGAGAAAGCAGGGGACCUUCGGGCCUUGCGCUAUCAGAUGAGCCUAGGUCGGAUUAGCUAGUUGGUGAGGUAAUGGCUCACCAAGGCGACGAUCCGUAACUGGUCUGAGAGGAUGAUCAGUCACACUGGAACUGAGACACGGUCCAGACUCCUACGGGAGGCAGCAGUGGGGAAUAUUGGACAAUGGGCGAAAGCCUGAUCCAGCCAUGCCGCGUGUGUGAAGAAGGUCUUCGGAUUGUAAAGCACUUUAAGUUGGGAGGAAGGGUUGUAGAUUAAUACUCUGCAAUUUUGACGUUACCGACAGAAUAAGCACCGGCUAACUCUGUGCCAGCAGCCGCGGUAAUACAGAGGGUGCAAGCGUUAAUCGGAAUUACUGGGCGUAAAGCGCGCGUAGGUGGUUUGUUAAGUUGGAUGUGAAAGCCCCGGGCUCAACCUGGGAACUGCAUUCAAAACUGACAAGCUAGAGUAUGGUAGAGGGUGGUGGAAUUUCCUGUGUAGCGGUGAAAUGCGUAUAUAUAGGAAGGAACACCAGUGGCGAAGGCGACCACCUGGAC